rnacentral:rRNA from 1 species
GAUCCUGGCUUAGGAUGAACGCUGGCGGCGUGCUUAACACAUGCAAGUCGAACGGGGUUACGAGAAGCUUGCUUUUGUAAACCUAGUGGCGGACGGGUGAGUAACGCGUGAGUAACCUGCCUUAGACUGGGGGAUAACACUUAGAAAUAGGUGCUAAUACCGCAUAAGCGCACAGUAUCGCAUGAUACAGUGUGAAAAACUCCGGUGGUCUAAAGAUGGACUCGCGUCUGAUUAGCUAGUUGGUGAGGUAACGGCCCACCAAGGCGACGAUCAGUAGCCGGCCUGAGAGGGUGAGCGGCCACAUUGGGACUGAGACACGGCCCAAACUCCUACGGGAGGCAGCAGUGAGGAAUAUUGGGCAAUGGGCGAAAAAGCCUGACCCAGCAACGCCGCGUGAAGGAAGAAGGUUUUAGGAUUGUAAACUUCUGUUGUAAGGGACGAAGGAAGUGACGGUACCAUAGGAGGAAGCCCCGGCUAACUACGUGCCAGCAGCCGC